rnacentral:rRNA from 1 species
CAUAACGUCGCAAGACCAAAGAGGGGGACCUUCGGGCCUCUUGCCAUCGGAUGUGCCCAGAUGGGAUUAGCUAGUAGGUGGGGUAACGGCUCACCUAGGCGACGAUCCCUAGCUGGUCUGAGAGGAUGACCAGCCACACUGGAACUGAGACACGGUCCAGACUCCUACGGGAGGCAGCAGUGGGGAAUAUUGCACAAUGGGCGCAAGCCUGAUGCAGCCAUGCCGCGUGUAUGAAGAAGGCCUUCGGGUUGUAAAGUACUUUCAGCGGGGAGGAAGGCGACAGGGUUAAUAACCCUGUCGAUUGACGUUACCCGCAGAAGAAGCACCGGCUAACUCCGUGCCAGCAGCCGCGGUAAUACGGAGGGUGCAAGCGUUAAUCGGAAUUACUGGGCGUAAAGCGCACGCAGGCGGUCUGUCAAGUCGGAUGUGAAAUCCCCGGGCUCAACCUGGGAACUGCAUUCGAAACUGGCAGGCUAGAGUCUUGUAGAGGGGGGUAGAAUUCCAGGUGUAGCGGUGAAAUGCGUAGAGAUCUGGAGGAAUACCGGUGGCGAAGGCGGCCCCCUGGACAAAGACUGACGCUCAGGUGCGAAAGCGUGGGGAGC